rnacentral:rRNA from 1 species
UACGUAGGCAGCAAGCGUUGUUCGGAAUUACUGGGCGUAAAGAGUGUGUAGGCGGUGCUCUAAGUCUGUUGUGAAAUCUCCCGGCUUAACCGGGAGGGUGCGGCGGAAACUGGAGUGCUUGAGGGUGGGAGAGGUAAGCGGAAUUCCUGGUGUAGCGGUGAAAUGCGCAGAUAUCAGGAGGAACACCAAUGGCGAAGGCAGCUCGCUGGGACGGUACUGACGCUGAGACGCGAAAGCGUGGGGAGCAAACAGG